UACAGAGGGGGCAAGCGUUGUUCGGAAUUACUGGGCGUAAAGGGCGCGUAGGCGGCCUUCUAAGUCAGACGUGAAAUCCCUCGGCUCAACCGGGGAACUGCGUCUGAGACUGGAAGGCUUGAAUCCGGGAGAGGGAUGUGGAAUUCCAGGUGUAGCGGUGAAAUGCGUAGAUAUCUGGAGGAACACCGGUGGCGAAGGCGGCAUCCUGGACCGGUAUUGACGCUGAGGCGCGAAAGCCAGGGGAGCAAACGGGG
rnacentral:rRNA from 1 species